rnacentral:rRNA from 1 species
GACGAACGCUGGCGGCGUGCUUAACACAUGCAAGUCGAACGGUGAAGCUCCAGCUUGCUGGAGUGGAUCAGUGGCGAACGGGUGAGUAACACGUGAGCAACCUGCCCCUGACUCUGGAAUAAGCGCUGGAAACGGCGUCUAAUACUGGAUACGAGAAGGGCCCGCAUGGCACUUUCUGGAAAGUUUUUCGGUUGGGGAUGGGCUCGCGGCCUAUCAGCUUGCUGGUGAGGUAAUGGCUCACCAAGGCGACGACGGGUAGCCGGCCUGAGAGGGCGACCGGCCACACUGGGACUGAGACACGGCCCAGACUCCUACGGGAGGCAGCAGUGGGGAAUAUUGCACAAUGGGCGAAAGCCUGAUGCAGCGACGCCGCGUGAGGGAUGACGGCCUUCGGGUUGUAAACCUCUUUCAGCAGGGAAGAAGCGAAAGUGACGGUACCUGCAGAAGAAGCACCGGCUAACUACGUG